UUGCAUUAAAAUUUUUAACAUCUUAUAUUAUAAUCUAUAUUAUUAAUUAAUCAAAAUCAAUGCUUUAAAGUCUCAAACCUUUUUUAAUUUAAGAGGCUCCUGCAACACAUGCAACUGAUUAUGUGAUAUGCAAUAUCACAGCAUUGAGAUGAGGUUUUUGAUAUAUAUUUUUAAAACAACCUGAGCUGUGACAAAGACGGCUGCACAAGAAACAGAACCUCACUGUUAAGAGAGCUGCAUCAAAAGUAGUUUCUUGGGCCAUCGGGUCUCCAUAACAAUAAUUUAUAAUUUAUUUAUUUAAUUGUGGAAAGCACUGUAUAGAAAAGAUGCACUGAUGCACAUGACCAAGCUGAACUAGCCAAUGAUAUUGAUCUAUACUCGUCAGAAAAACAUUUACUGUGAAACAGGAGAUGAUUAAGUCGAGCUGUAUCGUUUAUCACGCAAAGAAAAACUUACUUCAGGGUACAAAAAUAAAAUGACAGCACACACCCUGCCCCAGUUGUACACAACAGUAACGUUGAAACGCUGUACUAUCGCUGCAGGCUCGGUGGAUUUUCAUUGUUACUCCUCACUUGUGUUUCGGUGGCUUCGUUUAACUUGGAGACCAGUCAGACAAGUUAGGGGCAACGUCUGGCAAAAUAACUUGUGGUAUGUGAUUCCUGUUACACAGCAUGAUGGUUUGCAUGCACACUAAUACAAUCUGACAGGUCUUUACAACAAAAAAAUGAAAAGGGAAUUGUAUUACAGUAAUGAGGUAAAUAAAAAUAGCUACCCCAGCUUACUUAAACAAUGUAUCACAUGAGCAUUUCCCAAACAAACUGAUAAUGUCAUCUCCCCUGUAAGUGCUAAAACACCCCUUCUAAACACGCUUUAGAUUACACGUAUGAUUAACAUGUAAGUUCAUUCAUUGUUUUAAAAGGAAUGGUUGUUUUUUGUUGUUGUUUUUUUACAUGAGGUUGUGUCUAAAGUUUAUUAGUUACCAUCUUGUGUGCUCUCUUGGCACACUAAUUAAGUAUAAAUACAGAUUCGUUGACUUUGGAGAACAGUUAGUCUGAGAGGAGCCAAGGUGUUUGGCUUGGGUGGUUAUAUAUAAUGUACACAGAAGCUGACAAAUAUUUACUUAGAAAAUUAAGCUUGGCGGUGGUACGCCACCAACGAUCUUCCGGUGUCAAACACAUACUCAGCACAGAACAUGUAAAGCUUUCCUGGUCAAAGCAUCUGUCUAACAGAAAAGUGGGGCUAUGCAAAAGUUCAUAAAAAAUUGUUUUUAUACUACUUUACUGUUAGUUAGCUAGUUCAUUUGACCAGAGAAAUUAUUUACAAGCUACACUCUAAGAACAUGUUUCGCACAGGAACAUCAUCAGUGUUGCACAGCCUCCAAACUUCUUUUUUUAAAAUUUCUUUUAUUGGUUUAUUUAAUGUGAACAUGGUGACAGUUUACAGGUUCCUAAAAUAGCAUUAUUGUUAUAACCAUUUACAGUUUUUCUAAUGUCAAAUAACACUCCUGAUGUUAUUUGCACAUCUAACGUACUUUUUGUACAUUUUUUUGUUGUUGUUGCAAUUCUUGUAAAUAGUCUGUUAUGCACAGAUUUACGUACACGUUUUGUAUAUAUUUUUUAUUUAUUUAACUCUGUUACACAUUUCUUUGAGUCAGAGUACACCAUUUUUAUUAGCUUUAUUAUGUGUGUGUAAAUCUGCAUGCUCUGACUUACAGAUUUACACCUUGCUGGAGGUAAGCCUGAAUAUCCCCCUGAGGAACAAUAAAGUUUACUUCAAUUCCGCUAUGUUCUAUUCUGUCCUUUAAACCUUAACAUCAUUUUUGAGUCAAGAGUCCACUUCUUAGACAAGCAGUUAGUUUCAGUCUCUGGGUGUAGCUAAUGUAGAUUUCUAAAUAUAAAGUGAAUUAACUACAAGAGCUAAGAAAUAACCUACCUAUCUGCUUUUAAUAGAACUUCACCUAAAAAUCUUGAACUGUCCCUUUAAAGAUAAACGACAAUGUGACACAGCCUUAAAAUUAUAUAAAAGGCAACAACAAGAUGAUUUUUUUUUUUUUUUUAACAUCACAUAUAUCAGAUCUAAACUUGGAAUCCAGAACUUUCUGUUUUGCUUGGGUGUAAAUGUAGAUAGCGGCCCGUUUCUUUUAGCAUGAAGACCGAAGCGGAUUGUAAAAUUACACACAGUGAAGAAAAUGGAGAGGGAGGUCAACAAAGCCUCCAAAACCCAAUGGUAGAGAACUGCGGCAAAGAAUGGCAUCGUGGGAGCUGCCAAGUCCCCAUAACAAUCAUUUAGAUGUUAUCUAUAUGCAAACUAGUUAUUGGGGCUGUAUGUCAGAAUAAAUCACUUCCUGUCCCACCAUCACAAGAAUAACAGUUACAUUUAGCUAAACUCUACAAGGCCUUUAACUGCAAUGAGCAUUUUAAGCAACACACACAUUUUUUGGCAAAAAUAGUUUGAAUAUGAAGGAAAACAUCUCAAGCAUAUAAGUACAGUAGAGGUUCUGUGAUCCUGUGGGCCUGUUUCUCUUCCACAGUCCAAAGGACUAUAUUUGAAAUAUCAGGUUAAAAAAACUGGAUGACUUUACCAAAAAAAUCCAAAUAAGUAGACAGUGUGGUUUUAAGCGGUAUAUUGGUUGGAGGCAUAAGUUCAAACGAACACAAAGUGAAAUUAGUCAUCUUCCAUACAGUACACGUGUUAGUCUUGCUGCUAGCUUUACUCCACAGAUAAAUGUUAUAAAAGAAACAAUACGAUCAAUGAGUAUCAGACGACAUUUUUUUUUAUGGAAAAAGAAAGGGAACAGACAUGUUCUGUUAGACAUCUGCCCCGCAAAAGAGACGCUGUGCCGAAAACUCCAGUCUGUCCGCCCCGACCGUAAAGCCACCCUUCCAGUUCAGUAUGCAUAGACAACCCGGGUGACUUGUCCGAAGAGCAAAGCCAACAUGCAGAACUCCAACACCAACCCAAAUGAUGAUCAUUUGAUGAAACCGAACCAGCGUAGCGUGAAAACAGCGACACGAAACCACAGCUGGUCUCCAAAGACGCCCAGCUGAAAACUGGCGAGAAGCGCAUUUACCGAGUUUUAAAAACGUCACAUCGUAGUGUGCCAACUUUGUCUGCUAUAUUACAAAGAAACUUUUAAAAAAGGACACCCCCCAACAUCAGCAGGCGGCUGUUUUUAUUGCCUAGCCAAACAUGUCGCCGCGUCUGUUUUACCUCCCGAUCCCUUCCUGGACUGUUGCAGAGCAACACCGGCUGCCCCCGUAACCCUCUAGCGGCGCGGACCGCUUCAAUGCCCGGCGUGCCUGCGUAGGAGACUCCGCAGAGCAACCAUGUUUCCUCGCACCGGCCACGGUUGUCAAAACCCACGUUGCUCCCUCGAUAGCGCCUCUGGUCGCGAGUAGAGGUCGUUAAGGCGUCAUGGUGAAAGCUACAGGAGGUUUUUUCUUAAAUAGAAAGGCGAGGAUGGUGCGAAACAGUGGAGCAAUAAGCGAGGUCAGUUGGCUACUGCGAGUUGGAGGCCAUAAAUUGGACCAUGAUGACAAGGGAGGUUCAGCACCAUGGACAGCAGCGCUGCCCACUCCUGUUUUAAAGGAAAGGUGGGAAUAUUGGCUCUAAACUCCUGCGGUGCAUUACCUACAAACGGACGUUUAUGUGCACAGCAUGUGUGAAGAAAAUUUAUGCUACCUUUUAGCAAUUUUUUUUUUUUGUUAUUAAAGAAUGUGCUAAACCAGAGGAUGUAAAAGUUUAUCUUAAACACCACGGGCAUGCAAAAAGCUUGAAAUUAUUUAGAAGCUAAACAUUAUUUUAGACUCACGUGACAUUUGACAUUUAAAACGACAAUUACCAAGCGCUUUGUCUUCAUAUUUCAUAUUUGUAGGUACUUGGCCUGGCAAAAGCUAUCGCAUACAUAUGUGUGCGUUUGUGAGCGUCAAUGGCUGAAUGUGGCUCUAUUGUGAAGAGCUUUGAGUGUUCAAAAUGACUGAAAAAGUGCUGGGCAAGUUACAUCCAUUUGUCAAGACCAUUUACACGAAAAAGAAAAUGACUAUGUUUUGUUUACAAUGCAGACUCUUUAAUUAUUGCCUGAUUUGUUUUGUGUAUUUCAUUCUAAAAAGGUUGGAACGAUGGCAGUCCAAGAGUGGGGAGUUUUGAUUUGGAACAGACAUUCCACUUAAUUUGAAUAGAAAAUGUCUGAAGAAGUUUAAACUUGAGGGAAAAAAAGCAUGAGCCGAUAUUGCAAAUAGUCUUCAAAGAAAACAAUAUGUACCGCAUCAUAAAGGGAUUGUAGAAUUGCUGAAGAACGUAUUGAAAUGCAUAUCUGCAACCCUAAACUGUCAUCAGUAUUUUAAGCUUUAUAGCCAUACUUCUCAGCAACACGUGGAAGUCAGGCUCUUUUUUUCCCCCCAAAGAUUAAGUAAGACCACAUCCUGUGUUCGUUGAAGACAACAUGCGCAUAGAAAACUAAGAUGGUUUUAAUAUUAAAAUCCUAAAUCUAGUGCCACAGAAAAUAUUCUAUGUAACAUCCUGCUGAAUUUGUCUCUGAAAAUAUUCAUAUUUGCACAAACACACAUAAAGUUAAUAAACAUUGUGGUUUCAACACAA